AACGUAGGGUGCAAGCGUUGUCCGGAAUUACUGGGUGUAAAGGGAGCGCAGGCGGACCGGCAAGUUGGAAGUGAAAACUAUGGGCUCAACCCAUAAAUUGCUUUCAAAACUGCUGGCCUUGAGUAGUGCAGAGGUAGGUGGAAUUCCCGGUGUAGCGGUGGAAUGCGUAGAUAUCGGGAGGAACACCGGUGGCGAAGGCGACCUACUGGGCACCAACUGACGCUGAGGCUCGAAAGCAUGGGUAGCAAACAGG
rnacentral:rRNA from 1 species